CACCAAGGAGGAGCUGAAGUUGUCCAGCUUUCGAAACAUGGCAGACUUUUACCAUAGCAUACUGGUCUCCAGAAUAUUUAGCAGCUUUAUUUUGCAUUGUUGUCACAUUCACAG